GGAGAGAGGGAAAAAGUAAGGGAAGAGCGUGAGUAAAAGGAUAAGAGAGAUCAUAGAUGGGAGGUAGACCUUAGAUUUAUUGUACGCUAUGGCUCUUUGGACAGCAGCCAACGACAAUAAGAUAGAGAUGACAAUAGAUCGAAUAUAAAUCGGAUAAACCAUUAUCCAUACUCAUCUCGAAUUGGGGUGGAGCAGGUAUAAUUAAACA
rnacentral:lncRNA from 1 species